UACGUAGGGGGCAAGCGUUGUCCGGAUUUAUUGGGCGUAAAGAGCGUGUAGGCGGCCUGGUAGGUCUGCUGUGAAAACUCGAGACUCAACCUCGAGAUGUCGGCGGAAACCAUCUGGCUAGAGUCCGGAAGAGGAGAGUGGAAUUCCUGGUGUAGCGGUGAAAUGCGUAGAUAUCGUAAGGAAGACCAGUGGCGAAGGCGGGUCUCUGGACAGUUCCUGACGCUGAGGCACGAAGGCCAGGGGAGCAAACGGG
rnacentral:rRNA from 1 species